rnacentral:ncRNA from 1 species
ACGGUGAAUCCCUCUAUGCGACGGGGCGAGGCUACGUAAGUACAGCAGGAAUACACGCGCGAUUCAGGUGGUAGCCUUUCUGGAUCACCGGGAGGCACCCGGCACCGU